GGACACCAGGGGGCGCCGUGGAGUAACGCACCCCAACCAUCAGCUCUAUGGGGUUAUGGGGGCGGUUAUGGGGUCGGUUGUGGGGUAACCCAUCCCCACCAUCAGUUCUAUGGGGUGCUGUUAUGGGGUCAGUGACGUUAUAGGGUCGGUUAUAGGGUCGGUUAUGGGGUCGGUUAUGGGGUAACCCAGCCCAACCAUCAGCUGGGUGCAAUGAGGGCAAUUGGACACCAGGGGGCGCUAUGGAGUAACGCGCCCCAAAUAUCAGCUCAAUGGGGUUAUGGGGGCGGUUAUGGGGGCGGUUAUGGGGUCGGUUAUGGGGUCAUGGGGUAACUCAACCCCUCCAUCAGCUCUGUGGGGUCAGUUGUGGGGUCAGUGACGUUAUAGGAUCGGUCAUGGGGUCGGUUAUGGGGUCGGUUAUGGGGUAACCCAGCCCAACCAUCAGCUCGGUGCAAUGAGGGCAAUUGGACACCAGGGGGCGCUGUGGAGUAACGCACCCCAACCAUCAGCUCUAUGGGGUUAUGGGGGCGGUUAUGGGGUCAGUUAUGGGGUCAUGGGGUAACUCAUCCCCACCAUCAGUUCUAUGGGGUCGGUUGUGGGGUCAGUGACGUUAUGGGGUCGGUUAUAGGGUCGGUUAUGGGGUCGGUUAUGGGGUCGGUUAUGGGGUAACCCAGCCCAACCAUCAGCUGGGUGCAAUAAGGGCAAUCGGACACCAGGGGGCGCUGUGGAGUAACGAGCCCCAAACAUCAGCUCUAUGGGGUUAUGGGGGCGGUUAUGGGGUCGGUUAUGGGGUCAUGGCGUAACCCAUCCCCACCAUCAGCUCUGUGGGGUCAGUUGUGGGGUCAGUGACGUUAUGGGGUCAGUGACGUUAUGGGGUCGGUUAUGGGGUCGGUUAUGGGGUAACCCAGCCCACCAUCAUCCCUAUGGGGUCAAUGGGGUAAUGGGGUCAGUGAUGGAGUCAAUGGGGUGCCUUUAUGGGGUGUGGUUAUGGGGUGCCGUUAUGGGGUCUGUGGGGUGCCAUUAUGGGGUGCCCCUAUGGGGUGCUGUUAUGGGGUCAGUGUGGUGUGUUUAUGGGGUCAGCAGGGUGCUGUUAUGGGGUGCCGUUAUGGGGUCAAUGGGGUGCCACUAUGGGGUAAUGUUAUAGGGUAACGUUAUGGGGUAGCGUUAUGGGGUGCUGUUAUGGGGUUAACCUAUUGGGUGCUGCUAUCGGGUGCUGCUAUGGGGUCACUGGGGUGCCGUUAUGGGGUCAAUGGGGUGCCGUUAUUGGGGGCCACUCUGGGGUGUCGCUAUGGGGUGGUGUUAUGGGGUCAGUGGGGUGCCAUUAUGGGGUGCCGCUAUGGGGUCAAUGGGGUACUGCUAUAGGAUGCUGCUAUGGGGUCAAUGGGGUGCCGUUAUGGGGUGCCAUUAUAGGGUGUCGCUAUGGGGUGCUGUUAUGGGGUGCCGCUAUGGGGUCAAUGGGGUGCCGCUGUGGGGUCUAUGGGGUGCCACUAUGGGGUGCUGCUAUGGGGUCAAUGGGGUGCCCUAUGGUGUGCCAUCAUGGGGUCAA
rnacentral:lncRNA from 1 species